GGGGGGGGGGCAUCAGGAUCCCUAACUGUUUAUUCCUAUAUAUUACUAGACUGAUUAAUAUAUAAUAUACUUAAAGUCUCAUGAUUUUAUUGAUUUUUCCACUUCUAAUGGGACGAAGCCACACUACAUCCUACAUCUCUACAUUUUACUCUCGUGCUAUUUUUAGCCAUGGCGGCCAUCUUUUUUAAUAGUCUGGGUAGUGACUUUCAAGACGGCAUUUAUCCAUUUAUCAUUUGAAUCUUUAGUUUAUAGUAGUAAAUGAAGCAAUUCUAUCUUUUUAUUCACAUAACCUAUAAACGUUAAACCUCGACUCUUCUGUUCUUUCUUUUCGUCUUUCUUAGUACUGUGACCCCGAUGUCGGUCUUGUUCUCUU
rnacentral:lncRNA from 1 species